CCUACGGGCGGCAGCAGUGGGGAAUAUUGGACAAUGGGCGAAAGCCUGAUCCAGCCAUGCCGCGUGUGUGAAGAAGGCCUUCGGGUUGUAAAGCACUUUCAGUGGGGAAGAAAGCCUUGGGGCUAAUACCCUCGAGGAAGGACAUCACCCACAGAAGAAGCACCGGCUAACUCCGUGCCAGCAGCCGCGGUAAUACGGAGGGUGCGAGCGUUAAUCGGAAUUACUGGGCGUAAAGCGCGCGUAGGCGGUCUGAUAAGCCGGUUGUGAAAGCCCCGGGCUCAACCUGGGAACGGCAUCCGGAACUGUCAGGCUAGAGUGCAGGAGAGGAAGGUAGAAUUCCAGGUGUAGCGGUGAAAUGCGUAGAGAUCGGGAGGAAUACCAGUGGCGAAGGCGGCCUUCUGGACUGACACUGACGCUGAGGUGCGAAAGCGUGGGUAGCAAACAGGAUUAGAUACCCCAGUAGUC
rnacentral:rRNA from 1 species